UACGUAGGGGGCAAGCGUUGUCCGGAUUUAUUGGGCGUAAAGAGCUCGUAGGCUGUUCGAUAAGUCGGGUGUGAAACCUCCAGGCUCAACCUGGAGACGCCACCCGAUACUGUCAUGACUAGAGUCCGGUAGGGGAGCGUGGAAUUCCUGGUGUAGCGGUGAAACGCGCAGAUAUCAGGAGGAACACCAGCGGCGAAGGCGGCGCUCUGGGCCGGUACUGACGCUGAGGAGCGAAAGCGUGGGUAGCAAACAGG
rnacentral:rRNA from 1 species